UACGGAGGGGGCUAGCGUUGUUCGGAAUUACUGGGCGUAAAGCGCGCGUAGGCGGCUUUGCAAGUCGGGUGUGAAAUCCCCAGGCUUAACCUGGGAACUGCAUUCGAGACUGCAUUGCUAGAGUAUGGGAGAGGGAAGUGGAAUUUCCGGUGUAGCGGUGAAAUGCGUAGAUAUCGUAAGGAAGACCAGUGGCGAAGGCGGGUCUCUGGACAGUUCCUGACGCUGAGGCACGAAGGCCAGGGGAGCAAACGGG
rnacentral:rRNA from 1 species